rnacentral:rRNA from 1 species
AGAACGAACGCUGGCGGCAUGCCUAAUACAUGCAAGUCGAACGAACACUUCGGUGUUAGUGGCGCACGGGUGCGUAACGCGUGGGAAUCUGCCCUUGGGUUCGGAAUAACUUCGGGAAACUGAAGCUAAUACCGGAUGAUGACGUAAGUCCAAAGAUUUAUCGCCCAAGGAUGAGCCCGCGUAGGAUUAGCUAGUUGGUGGGGUAAAGGCCUACCAAGGCGACGAUCCUUAGCUGGUCUGAGAGGAUGAUCAGCCACACUGGGACUGAGACACGGCCCAGACUCCUACGGGAGGCAGCAGUAGGGAAUAUUGGACAAUGGGCAAAGCCUGAUCCAGCAAUGCCGCGUGAGUGAUGAAGGCCUUAGGGUUGUAAAGCUCUUUACCCGAGAUGAUAAUGACAGUAUCGGGAGAAUAAGCUCCGGCUAACUCCGCGCCAGCAGCCGC